UUUUUGGUAUAAGUAUAUCCCAUGCAAUAUUUGGAACAUACUUAUGCUAAAA
rnacentral:pre_miRNA from 1 species